AGCUUGUCCUUUUCCACCCGGAAUUUCUCUAGCAGCUGCCGCCGGGUCACAGUGAAGAUGGAGCGGAGAAGGCUUCGCCCAAAGAUGCUUCUCAAACGGGGGACUGCCCAGGGAGCCCUCCACCACUGGCCGGGUCAUCUGCAGGAUGCAUUUCCGCAGAAGCUGGAGGAAGAGGAAGAAGGAGGGGCAGAGGUCAGCAGAGCUCAGAGCUGCCGACUCCCUAGCCUUGUCUACCGUGCUCAUCCACACUCACUUGGACAAAGCUCACCUUGAAGAGGUAGAAAUACACCUG